rnacentral:rRNA from 1 species
GAUGAACGCUGGCGGCGUGCUUAACACAUGCAAGUCGAACGGGAAUUCUUUUAUUGAAACUUCGGUCGAUUUCAUUUAAUUCUAGUGGCGGACGGGUGAGUAACGCGUGGGUAACCUGCCUUAUACAGGGGGAUAACAGUCAGAAGUGGCUGCUAAUACCGCAUAAGCGCACAGAGCUGCAUGGCUCAGUGUGAAAAACUCCGGUGGUAUAAGAUGGACCCGCGUUGGAUUAGCUGGUUGGUGGGGUAACGGCCCACCAAGGCGACGAUCCAUAGCCGGCCUGAGAGGGUGAACGGCCACAUUGGGACUGAGACACGGCCCAGACUCCUACGGGAGGCAGCAGUGGGGAAUAUUGCACAAUGGGGGAAACCCUGAUGCAGCGACGCCGCGUGAAGGAAGAAGUAUCUCGGUAUGUAAACUUCUAUCAGCAGGGAAGAUAGUGACGGUACCUGACUAAGAAGCCCCGGCUAACUACGUG